AGUGAACGCUGGCGGUAGGCCUAACACAUGCAAGUCGAACGGCAGCACAGUAAGAGCUUGCUCUUACGGGUGGCGAGUGGCGGACGGGUGAGGAAUACAUCGGAAUCUACUUUUUCGUGGGGGAUAACGUAGGGAAACUUACGCUAAUACCGCAUACGACCUACGGGUGAAAGCAGGGGAUCUUCGGACCUUGCGCGAUUGAAUGAGCCGAUGUCGGAUUAGCUAGUUGGCGGGGUAAAGGCCCACCAAGGCGACGAUCCGUAGCUGGUCUGAGAGGAUGAUCAGCCACACUGGAACUGAGACACGGUCCAGACUCCUACGGGAGGCAGCAGUGGGGAAUAUUGGACAAUGGGCGCAAGCCUGAUCCAGCCAUACCGCGUGGGUGAAGAAGGCCUUCGGGUUGUAAAGCCCUUUGUUGGGAAAGAAAAGCAGCAGGUUAAUACCACGCUGUUCUGACGGUACCCAAAGAAUAAGCACCGGCUAACUUCGUG
rnacentral:rRNA from 1 species